rnacentral:rRNA from 1 species
UUGGAGGGCAAGUCUGGUGCCAGCAGCCGCGGUAAUUCCAGCUCCAAUAGCGUAUAUUAAAGUUGUUGCAGUUAAAAAGCUCGUAGUUGAAUUUCGGGAUCAAUGUUUCGGUCAUGCCGUUGGUAUGUACUGAUAUUAUUGAUUUCUCACCUUCUAAAGAACCGUAAUGCCAUUAAUUUGGUGUCACGGGGAAUUAGGACUGUUACCUUGAAAAAAUUAGAGUGUUUAAAGCAGGCUCACGCUUGAAUACAUUAGCAUGGAAUAAUGAAAUAGGACAUCCGAUUCUAUUUUGUUGGUUUCUAGGAUCGAUGUAAUGAUUAAUAGGGAUAGUUGGGGGCAUUAGUAUCCAAUUGUCAGAGGUGAAAUUCUUGGAUUUAUUGAAGACUAACUACUGCGAAAGCAUUUGCCAAGGAUGUUUUCAUUAAUCAAGAACGAAAGUUAGGGGAUCGAAGACGAUCAGAUACCGUCGUAGUCUUAACCAUAAACUAUGCCGACUAGGGAUCGGAUGAUGUUAAUUUUUAAUGGCUCAUUCGGCGCCUUACGGGAAACCAAAGUGUUUGGGUUC